AUUGAACGCUGGCGGCAGGCUUAACACAUGCAAGUCGAACGAGUGGCGGACGGGUGAGUAAUGUCUGGGACACUGCCUGGGGGCGGGGGAUAACUACUGGAAACGGUAGCUAAUACCGCAUACCAUCGGAUGUGCCCAGAUGGGAUUAGCUAGGAUGUGGGGUAAAGGCUAACCUAGGCGACGAUCCCUAGCUGGUCUGAGGGGAUGACAAGCCACCCUGGAACUGAGACACGGUCCAGACUCCUACGGUAGGCAGCAGUGGGGAAUGUUGCACAAUGGGCGCAAACCUGAUGCAGCCAUGCCGCGUGUAUUAAGAAGGCCUUCGGGUUGUAAAGUACUUUCAGCGGGGAGGCGUUACCCGCAGAAGAAGCACCGGCUAACUCCGUGCCAGCCGCCGCGGUAAUUC
rnacentral:rRNA from 1 species